UACGGGGGGAGCAAGCGUUGUUCGGAUUUACUGGGCGUAAAGGGCGCGUAGGCGGUCAGCACAAGUCAGUUAUGAAAUCUCCGAGCUUAACUCGGAAAGGUCAACUGAUACUGUGCGACUAGAGUGCAGAAGGGGCAACUGGAAUUCUCGGUGUAGCGGUGAAAUGCGUAGAUAUCUGGAGGAACACCGGUGGCGAAGGCGGCAUCCUGGACCGAGAUUGACGCUGAGGCGCGAAAGCAUGGGGAGCGAACAGG
rnacentral:rRNA from 1 species